AGUCGUAACAAGGUAUCCGUAGGUGAACCUGCGGAUGGAUCAUUAACAAAGGUGUAUUUGAAGUUGUGUGAACAGUUGGAGGUGGUGGUGGUGGUAGUGGUAUUGGGUGGUAUUGGGUGGUAUUGGGUGUGUUUGUGGGUGGUCUAACCUUGGUCUAACCUUGGUCAACCUCACUCAACCUCACUCAACCUCACUCUCCCACUCUCCCAACCUCCACCACUCCGUCCCUAUAAUGUAUACAAACUGAUGUCUGCUAGUUUCAAACUAAAACAACUUUUAGCAACGGAUCUCUUGGCUCUC
rnacentral:misc_RNA from 1 species